UUUUGCAUUCAUCAUCUCAUUUUCUUCCCACGGGAAUCUUGUGAGAGAAAUGCAGCUUCAACCCACUUUGUAGAUACAGAGACUGAGGCUGAAGGCUUUUCAAAUGGCGUGGUUGGCCCGGGAGACAGGACCUGUAUUUGCUGAGCACGUGCUCUGUAUUAAGCUCUAACAGACAUGAGGUCCAUCCUCGAGAGGCUUCCGAUCUAGCCCAGGGGAGGGCUUGAAUAGAAGCUAUGCAGGUAAAGCAACAGCUACAAACUGAGAUCAGGGCCAUGAAGGAGAAGAACCAGGUGUUUGAAAAGGAAAUAAGAAGAGGCUUACGUCGGUAAGGGGGACACCUCCCUGAGAAAGUGGCAUUUAUGCUGAGACGGAGGCUGAGUCACAGGAAGAGCUCCAGGUGAAGGGACCAGUGCGUGCAAAGGCCCUGAGGUGGGAAGGAUCUGGCAUGUUCCUGGAGCGGAGAAGUGGCCAGUGCGUCUGUGGGGAGAUGAGCAAGACCCAAACCUUUGCAAGGUGCCCCCAUGAUGAGCCAAGCCUUCUGGUGUAGAGCUGAACUCUAAGUCAGAGUUCUGACUUCAGUCUAGAGACUUCUCCAUACCUCUCUGGGGCCUGGUCAGCCCCAGCUUUGGGCAGAGCCCCACCCUGCCACAAGGGAGACCCUAGGCUCUGCCUGACCACCUCAUCUGUCACGAUCCCCCCCUCCCCCCCACCGCAGUAUACAGACAACCCCACCAGUGUGGCCUUGUGUUCCCUGCCUGGUGUGGACCUUCCACCUCUCCCGGACUACCCCCUUCCUUGAGCCGACAGGCAGCAUUCCUCCGAGUCAGGGAGCGGGGGCCGUGGGGGCGAGCCGAGGGAGGGCUGUGCAGGCUUUCAGGAGCAUUACAUCUGGAGAGGGAGACCGGAAUGUUUGUGUCUGAAAUUUAGCUAAUAUCCCAGGAAUUUCUCCUGGCGGUUCAGAGGGUUCCUAGGGGGACUGCAAAGCUGGGAUGUCUGGGUUCUGGAGGCGGGCUGGCCUCGCUCAAAGCCUCUUUGUCCUCGUGGCUCUGCCUGUGUCGAUCUGGCUAGGCAUCUGUGUGCCUUUGUGUGUGUGUGUGUGUGUGUGUGUGUGUGUGUGUCUGUGGGUACCUGAGUAUCUUUCUUGGUCUACAUCAUGGUGUGACUGGAGUCUCUGUGUCUCUCCGAUUCGUGGUACGUCAGUGGGUGAGUCCCUGCUGUCUGUGUGUCCUUGUCGCUUGUCUGUACAGCCAUCCGUCUCUGCCCUUUGCCUUUGCAGAGGUGUGGCUCUCUCUGGGACUCGGGCUUCACCUCCUGUCCCUCCUUCUCCACCCUAGGGCUAGGGCUGGGUUGUGCCCUCCCUAUUAGUAGGGAACAGACUACAGACAAAGAAGAAAGAGUAAGGGGUAGGAGAGACAGAGUCGGGAGACGAGUUCAUGUGUGUGUUGCGGAGGGCGGGGGGGGGGGGUGUAUCUGUUCCUCUGCCCGGUCAGGGAAGGGCCCUUGCAGGCCAAACCCUGCCUUCAGCCCCGCCACAAAGAAGCAGUUCCCUCACGCUGCCCAUGAGUCCUCCGGCUCAGUAGCCCGAGUCACACCCCACCCUCCUGCCCUCUCCCUUCCUCCCAUUUGGUCACAAAGCAUUGUUUCAUCCUCCAGCCGAGUCCCCUCUCCCCUGCUCCCCACCAUGCCCUCGCCUCUUCCCGCUCGGUGCUCUGUCCUGGUCCCCCACCCUCCAGUCUGAUGUGGCCACAUCACACUUUUGGGAGCAUGUCGUGCCUUCCCUACUCAAAGGACUCCUUCUUAGGAACCUCUUGGAGCCACUCACUCACCCCUUCUGCCCGGAAGCCUCCCUGGACUCCCCAGGCAGGGAGAAGGCUCCUUGCUCCGAUCCCCUUGUAUUUUUUCCUACGAGCUUCUGUGACCCUCGCCCCUCAGGCUGGGGUUGUCCACCUCCUGGACUCCUGUCUCCCUGUAGACGGCAAGAGAGAGGGCAUGGUUUGGCUAUAUUUCCCACCACUGCCUGGAACACAGGGAUCUCCACAAUACCUGCUCUGGAUGAGCAGAGGGCCCCCAAGGCCCUUAAGGCACAGCACGCGAAGACCCCGACACCGGCCCAGGUGCCCCGGACCCCGCCGAUGCUCAGCAGCCUUUGAAGCCAAGCACAGGUCACCCCCCGCAGUGUCGCCCAUGGCUGCCUGCUGGCCUCUCAGCCCCAGAGCCGCCAUCAUACAGCCCCUCAGGGGCCUCCGACCGCUGGAGGCCUCGUCACCUGUCCUGGAAACAUCUCAAACACACGGACAGUCCAUUCUAAACGUUUCAUUCUUUAUGUGGUGUAUUCGUUUUCUAGGGCUGUUGUAACACAUACCACAAGUUGGGUGGCUUAGAACAGUCCUGAAGGCCAGAGGUCUGACAUCAGGGUGUUGGUGGCGCCUUGCUCCCUCUCGAGGCCCCAGGGAGGAUCCCUCCUGGCCUCUUCCGGCCUCUGGCGGUUGCUGGCAAUCCUUGGUGUUCCCUGGCCCGUAGACACAUCCCUCCAGUCCUCCCUUCUGCCUUCACGCGGCUUUCCCCUGUGUGUAUCUGUGUCUCAGAUCUCCGUCUCCUUGUGAGGCCCACCCGCAAUCCAGAACGCUCUCUCGUCCUGAUCCUUAAUUACAUCAGCAAAGGCCUGAUUGCCAAAUGAAGAGACGGUUCACCUUCCCGGGUACUGGGUGUGUCAGGACUUGGGCAUAUCGGGUGAAGGAACGUAAUCCGGCUCACUUCAUGGCAGCUGUAGUUCUAGAAACUCAACAAUAGCCCGUCGACCUGAGCGGUUGAUGAUGACAAAUAACAGAGCCCCCAGGACUGUCUGGGUUAGAGGUCCCCUAGCACACCUGGCAGCCGGCCCCCCACACGGUCUCUGGGUAAGCUGAAACACCUGCGGACACAGAAAGCCCAUCACGCCCCGUGCACGCUAGCUUACGAGGAGGCCCGGGGUGGGCGGCCAGGCUGUCAGGAAAUACGGAGGAAGAAGGAAAGGUGCCUCCUUCCUUCCUGAGGGCUCAAGGCUUCGUCACUUUCCAACACUGAAGGGUAGACCCUGGUGAAACGAAGACGUCCAGCCAGCUUAGGAGGCAGAAACGGAGCAAGAAAGGGAGCAAAAGCGUUCCGAAGCCAGGCUCUCCCCGGGACGUGAGUGGGGUGGCGGCCAAGUCCUGUUUCCCGGUCCUUGCGCUACAUCUGCUCUUGCAGAGUGGGCCUGGGGAGGCCUUCGGGCUCUCUGGGCGUCAGCCGUGUGCUGGAAUUGCAAAGGCUGGCCCUUCCUGUCUCAAGGCUACGGCGAGGCUCUCCACCGCAUGGAUCUGGGCAAUCCAUGCCUACGAAGGCCGAGGCUGUUUUCGUGGCUAAGGAAGUAGCUAGAACGAGAACAGCAGCAGGCAGCUUGCUUUAUGUGAAUCCCGCACCCUCCAGGAGAGCUACAAGGCAGCAAAUGGGCAGGCAAGUGGCAUCGUUGAGCACCGACUGUAUGCCAGGCAUUCGUCUAGGCCAGGGGCUACAAUUUCUCAUCUAACUGUGCCAAGGGCCCUGCACGGCACAGGGGUUAGGGAACCCGUAUUUUUUUCAGAGGAGGAAAGUGAAGCAAAAUAUCAACCAAGAUCACAUGGCCAGAAGGUGUUUAGAGAUCUACAAAGAAGUCACUGGCAAGUGGUUUGAGGUGAGGGCCGGGGCGAUGGAGAGGCAGGUUCAUUAUGAAACAUGGAUACAAGUCUUCGAGUCAAAAGGAAUAAAUAAGCGGCUGAUUUCCCUGGA